rnacentral:rRNA from 1 species
AGAGUUUGAUCAUGGCUCAGGAUGAACGCUGGCGGCGUGCCUGAUACAUGCAAGUCGAGCGGAAAGGUUCUGCACUUAGUAUUUGACCUCUGAAAGUCCAUGCCAAUGGAUACUACAGAGAGGAAGUAAUCUCUGGCUAGAGGUUACGAGUCGAAUGUUGAGUGUAGAAUACUCGAGCGGCGGACGGCAGAGUAACACGUAGGAAUGUACCCCAAACUGAGGGAUAAGCACCAGAAAUGGUGUCUAAUACCGCAUGUGCUCCAAGGAGUAAAGCUUCGGCGGUUUGGGAACGGCCUGCGCAUGAUUAGCUUGUUGGUGAGGUAAUGGCUCACCAAGGCGACGAUCAUUAGCUGGUCUGAGAGGAUGAUCAGCCUGACUGGAACUGAGAACGGUCCAGACUCCUACGGGAG